rnacentral:lncRNA from 1 species
UCCUCUAUUCCUAUUACCGAUUAAGGACCCACCGGCGAAAAUAUGUCUCCUCCCGGAGGUGGCGGAGCCUCUCCAGUAAAAGCAUUCCUGAGCUCCUCUAUUUCGGCGGUCAGAUCCAGAGAAGAGUCUGAGAGAUCCAUGGACUCGCGAGCCUCGUUUCCAACCCCACGCCUUGAAUGAAACCCUAGUACCUAUCGAAGAAGAGCCGGGGGGCAAAAUCUAAU